GCUAUUUUGGCAGAAAAGUGUUAUGAAUUUAGAAUUCAUUUAUGUAAUUAAUUUUACAAUUAGUA
rnacentral:tRNA from 3 species